CCUACGGGAGGCAGCAGUAGGGAAUAUUGCACAAUGGGGGAAACCCUGAUGCAGCAACGCCGCGUGAGGGAUGAAGUUUUUCGUAUCGUAAACUCCUAUUGUUAGGGAAGAUUAUGACGGUAUCUAACGAAUAAGCACCGGCUAACUCCGUGCCAGCAGCCGCGGUAAUACGGAGGGUGCAAGCGUUACUCGGAUUCACUGGGCGUAAAGAGUGCGUAGGCGGGGUAAUAAGUCAGAGGUGAAAUCCUGUAGCUUAACUACAGAACUGCAUUGGAAACUGUUGCUCUGGAGUGUGGGAGAGGUAGGUGGAAUUCUUGGUGUAGGGGUAAAAUCCGUAGAGAUCAAGAGGAAUACUCAUUGCGAAGGCGACCUGCUGGAACAUUACUGACGCUGAUGCUCGAAAGCGUGGGGAGCAAACAGGAUUAGAUACCCGUGUAGUC
rnacentral:rRNA from 1 species